UUAAGUGACGAUAGCCUAGGAGAUACACCUGUACCCAUGCCGAACACAGAAGUUAAGCCCUAGAACGCCGGAAGUAGUUGGGGG
rnacentral:rRNA from 2 species